UAAUGAGUUACAAAUUCCCCACAAUAGAAUAUUAUGAUCGUCGGCCUUACAAUACUGUUCUUUUAAAAUUUUCUGCUCACUGGAUAGUCAUAGUUCAAACCAUCUAUAUCAAAAGGCUUUCCCAGGCACUCAUCUUCGAAACCUUAGAUCCAGCAAGUCUACAACCGUCUGAGCAUAUUCUUCAAAAAUCCGGUCUCUCAGCAUGGCAUAUGACACUGAUAGGAUUGAAUUUUCAAAUUUCCGACUUAAAGGUCUUGGGCGUUAGCUGGAAGUUAUGAGGUGGCAUACAUGAACGGAUAAUGGACGAAAUAAUGCUUGAAUUUCUUUGAACAUUCCAUUUCAAUAGUUGAAGAGAAACGUGUCAUCGAAUAACUCUUUUGCACUAUAGAUCAACUCGACCAAUAUUCAGUAAAGCUGAACAUUUAUCAAUAACUGCAUCGGAUGCCUCUCAACACUCAACUGCAUUAUGGAACAAACUGGUUACCCCGGUUCUCAUCAUUGACCAUAUCCAAUCAUUGAGGCUCCCCGAAUCACUAUGCAUAGGAGAGCCAGCAUGUGCUAAGGACAGCUUCACAUACUCAAUAAUAAAAUUCCUUGCAUUCAGAUUCAUGCAUCCCUCUAUAGGACUUGUAGAACUAUUAUUGAAAGUGAACAGCCCAGGUUGCUUUCAGAUGAUGUUAAGAGAACCUCUUCUCAUAGAUCCUGUGGAAAUAUUGUAAUCACUGAGACAAUAUCCAUUUCAGCUGGUUGACUUUCCAGUUCCUGUGAUUGAUGCAGCCUUUGUGCUUGAAGAGCUUGACUGCGAUGUUGUCUCUCAUAAGGUCCAUUUUUUACUGUCCAAAACCCAGAUCAGACAUGUGAUGAUGUCUCAACUGUUCAAGAAGCAAUUGUUAAAUGUGAGUCAUGUUGUAACUGUUGUUGCUGCUGCUACAAUUUCAUUUGGUGGUGAUGAAGCUGCUAUUCAUGAAGCUCAAACUCUCACUGCUAUUGUAAGCUUUCCUAGCAAGAUACAUGCGCAAGUCUUUUUUUUUUGGAUCGUCUGACAUGCAGCUUCCUUCCUCAUUUUUUUUUAACGAUGGCCUGCAACUUGAACUCGACAUGAGGCUUGAAUUUGUGUGGCAAAUUGCCGCAAUAAGGCAAAGCUUUUACGAGUUAGAUAUGAACGAACUUUUCUCUGGAUAAUGCUAGCAGAUCUUCCUAAAACCUCAUUCCUACGAGCAUCUAGUUCUGUCAUCUGACCAGCUCUAAGAAACACUUUUGUUUUACCAAUCUGAUACCCUUUAAGGUCCACCUUCUCCAAAAUCCUCUUGGAAGCAGUAACCUCAUCAUGGCUCCCCUUCGAGACAUCAGGUGCAAGGAUGCCAAAAUGAAACUCAACAAACGUUCUUCUUGUGGGAUAUCCAGCACAACUGAUCCUAAUUGCUUUCAAGACACCCCCACAUUACGCAUAUCUCGAAAUCAUUGCAUUCCACACAACAAGGUCCUUGUGGGGCAUUUUAUCAAACAGCUUCCGAGCAAAAGCGAAAUCUCCCGUCUUGGCACAUGCACUGACCAUUGCAGUUUAACACAUCAAACCUAGCUCACGAAUUGAUGAAAACAUCUAUUAGCAAGUAGCCAAACCACCCAAUUCCUGCAUACAUGUAAACUGAACCACUUUGAACAGGUGAGUCAUACUCAAACCCACUUUUUCAGAACGGCACCCCGUACAAACGAACUGAUCCCAUGCACCAAUAGCUGAGCAGAGGUACAAACCAAGGAGGUGAAAGUGUAAUUAUCAGAGACCAAAUAACCAACGGAAAGAAGAAUUCUGUUAUAAAAGUGAAACCUUCAAUGAGGUGCUGAACUUUUGGAAUGGGCUCUGAUCAAAUAGUUGAAGGUGAGGGAGGUUGGGUUCUGAGAGUUGUGACGGGUUGCUGCACUCUUCAUCCCUCAUACCAGCACUUUUGUCAUCCUCCCAAAUCAUGCCUAAAUAUAUUAACACUCAAACACUAAACAAUCUUGGCUAUGAUCACUGAUAACCCAGACUCUUGGUAGCUUGGCAUGUAAGGGUAUCAACAAAAUUUAUACCUAAGGUCCUUACACUAAAGUAGCAAAGCUACUGUAGCAUAGUGGCUCUAGGAUCGAACACUGGGAAGGGUUUUUACUUUAACUGGUGAAGUUCGGAGGAUGGAGUGAACUUUUCUUAAUAAAAAUUAGGUUAAGAUGAAAACAUAAAAAGAUGAAAGUGUUGUAAACUAAACUAACAUGAAAAUAGGUUAAAAGAUGGAAAAAGAAGUUUCUCAAAGCUUUGGAUAGCCAUGCUUAACUCACUGUGUCAAAAUGGAGAUUUUGGGACUCUUCACCUCGAGUUGGGGAAGCAACUAAGGUGAUGCUUACUUCCCGAACCGGUAUGAGUUUAACAACUGAGUUUUAGUCCUUGAAAACUUACAAAAAGAGUAGUUGAACCUCACAAAUGCUCUUUUAUUGGUAUAGGUCAUCUCCUCGACUUGCAAUACAAUGGCUCGUAGGAGAUAACUAAUGAACGUCAGUGGAUCUAACAAUAAGAAUCCACUGAGACCAAAAGAUUAUCAAGUAUUGGUCAUUCAAAGCAAGUCAGAGGGAUUAAAAGCUUUACUUUGAAUGAAAACAUUUAUGACGCUCAACUACUUACAUUUAUGGCUUGGAAACCUCCAUCCUGACACGGGAGCUUCACAUGGCAUCCAUUACUUCAAGAAACUAAAAGGUUUUAGCCUCUCAUCCUUGGUGAUUUCAUCCUCCAAGGAUGUUUGGCUACUAAGAAAAUGAGAAAGAAAAGAGAAAAGAAGCGUAUGAACAAAAGUGCUCUUAUAACUUAUAAAGUUACAGGUUACAAGAUUAGAUGAUCUGAGGCUCUUCAACUCUAUUUAAAGACAAUAACAAGCUAAAUUACAAGAGCUAUUACAAAAGCAACCUAUUCAUUGGUUGAUUACAAGGGUAAAAUAGGUAUUUACAAAGCUAAAAAUCAAGCAAAAUAUCUUGGAGAACCGGCAGUGGAAUAUCAUCAACACCGUCUCAAAACAGGGGAUUUCAGAGGUAUUUCGCAAGGUGCCUAAAUCCACCUUGCGAAAUUUCGCAAGGGGUUCUUCAUGGUGCGAAGUGGCCAAAUUUCGCACCAUGAAGAAAAUCUCCUUGCGAAAUUGGUCAUUUGACAUGAUGCAGUUGUCUUCCGAAGGCCAUAUCUUCCUCAUUUCAGCUCCAAAUCAUACACGGUUUGAAGAGUUGGAUUCUUGACUUCCUAAGCUUUCAAAUGGUAUAUAGCAUGCAAAAAAUGGACUUCAGAAAGUGCUUCAAAAGUGCGAAAGAAGACUGCAGCUAUUUUCUUCACUCUGUUUUCCUCUUCUCCAUUGCUUGUGCUCGUGUUUCCACUUGAAAUUCAAGCAUGUAAACGUCCAAAAUCCUUGCUUAACUCGCCCAAAUAGCUCCUCCAUCAAUUGGCAUGCUUGAAUUGAUUCAUAAGCUGAUAAAAACAUGUAAACUUGCCACAAAAUGGUUAAAACCAAUUACUAAGGACCUUAAUGAAUUAAUUGGGUUAAAUGAAUAUGAUUACUACUCAAAGGUGCUUAAAACCAUUAUAAUUAGGUCUACAAAAUUGCACUUUUUGGUAGUAAUCAAUCACUCUUUCCUCUAUCGUCCACUUCCAAAAUCCGUGAAAACCUCGGUUCGACUUUCUUGUUUCGAAAAGUUUAUCAUUGCAAACUAGAAAAAUCAGAUUCCUUCUCAUUGGUAUUUUCUUCAAACAAAUCUCACGCUCCCCAAUCUGUCCUUGAUCUACAUAUCCUUAACAAGUGAACAAACAGCCGACCAGCUAGAAUUUUGAAGUGUUUGAUCUCUUUGCUGAAUCUCAUGACUAUAUUCCCAAGCCUUGGAGUCACCCCCAUAUCAAGAAUUGAUGGCUAUGUGACGGGUAGGAAGAAAGGCAAAACAGAUAUGGUAGAGAGUAGAGGAAACGAUGGGAAAACAGACAUGGGAGAUUAAAAGAAAAUAAAACCACAUCUCAUGAUUUUUCAAUAGGCUCAGGUUAGUGGGAACAGGCAUGGAGUUAUAUGCUUCCGAAGACAUUAAUGACAUCCAAAAUCAAAACAAAGCAAACAGGCAAGUAACCAAUCUCAACAAAGCAAAUUGUGGCCCUUUUCGUCCACACAAAACUCAACAAAACAAUUAAAUAUUCAGGAAUUGAACACACGGAAAAAUCAAAUAUAGGUAAGAAUUCCAAAAGCAACGAGGUGCAUACCUGGACAGCUUUGGUUGCAAUGGCUCGGCUUCUGGCUAUCUUUUCUCUUCCUUCUGAAGACAAUUCCCAGAUAAAAAUCCUCUUUUUGCUUGUUCUUUCUUCCUCCUCCUCCCUCUCUAGACUCCAAUACGUGCUUCUCACCAAAAAAGAAUCUCCUCCCACAAUCAAAAAAGCUUCCUCCCUUUUUUUUUUCUUCCUCUCUCACGUAUAUAUCUCCGCCUUUCCCUAAAACCUAAAUCUCCCUAAAAAAAAGGUGAAAUUUCCUAUUUUCUCUCUUCUUUUCUCCUUAUCCUUUUUAAAAUCUUCCAAUUCAAAAGCAAUCUUCCCAACUUCAAAUUCCUCUCCAAAACCUUCUAAGGAGAGUCCCACUUUCCUUAAACUCCAAUGGUAAGUUUCCUUGCAAAAGCAUGAAAUUUUAGAAGUUAAACAAUUGCAUGAAUAGAUAAAUAAGUAAAUAAAUUAGAAAAUGGUAAAAAUAAUAAAUAAAUAAAUAAGUUAAGGAAAAUAAUAUAAAGAGGAAGAUAACCAAUAAAAAGUGACUGAUAAUCAUAAAACUAAAACUAAAAAUAAAAAAAUAAUAAUAAAAAUAAAAUAAAAUAAAAUAAAAAUAAACAAAUUAACAAAAAAUGGGCCCCACGAGCCAUGCAAACACGCAAGUCAUAUAAGUCACGCUAAAAAAAGUCUUCAUAGACCCAGUAUAUCUAAACGGGCUUAAGGUGAGACUAAGUGGGCCUAAGGUGGUGCCUGAUGGGUCAAGUGUAUCUUAAACCUAUCCUAAAAAAAGCAAGAAAAGCCUAAAUCUAAAUCAAAACUGCCAAGGAUCACAAUAAAGGGUCAGAUAAUCCCUUAACCAAAGUCUCCGAGGUGACUCAGAAAAAGGUAAGUUAUACGAGUAGUAAUGGGCCACCAAGGAACUACUGUGGAGCACUGAAAACGAACUUAAAAACAUGUGCUAAAGGGACAAAAUUGAGGGUCUACAAAUAUGCCCCUCUUCGGUAUAGAUCACGAGUGUAGAGAAUGUGAGUAGAAACGCGAGUAAUGAGCGGAAUGAAGUGAACUAUACCGAAGAACUAAAGAAGGACCAAAGAUUUUGUCUUAGCACAUGGCGAGAGUAAGGUCGGAACAUGAGUCUGUAACGACAAGGAUGGAACAACUCUACGUGGGGGAAUGGCAGUAAAGAUAGAAAGUAUGUGAUGAGUAGCGCAAAGAUGGAAAGAGAUGAAAAUGAUGACUCAAAGUUAUGGAUGAGAUGAAUAACUCUAGAUCAUGGAUAAGAUGAACGGCACUGGGUCAAAAAUAAGACAAAAGACUCUGGGUCAUGAGCUCAGGGCUCUAAUUGGAAAGAAUGACUCUGGGUCGAGAGCUCUGGGCUCUAACUAGGAAAGAAUGACUCUGGGUCAAAAUGGAAAAUGACUUUGGGUCAAGAGCUCUAGGCUCUAAAUAGGAAAGAAUGACUCUGGGUCGAGAGCUCUGGGCUCUAAAUAGAUAGCCGAUCAGGAUACUUUCCGACUCAAGGUGCCGGGUCGAGGCCACUCACAAGUGGCUAGAAUGAUGAAAACGAAACAUCUCAGGGAUGUGAAUGAUGCAAAUGACUCCGGGUCGUGAGCUCAGGGCUCGGGGUGCUAUGAAUGACUCUAGGUCAAGAUGAAAAAUGACUCUGGGUCGAUGAAUAGCUCAGGGCUAUGAGCUCCGGGCUCUAUAACUGAUCGGCUAGAAGGAAAAUGCGAUAAGCAAACUCCAGGUCAAACCACUCAUGGGCGACCAAAUGAUGAAAGCUCAGCUAAGAGCUGGAAAGACUCCGGGUCUAUAGGAAAUGAUAGCUCAGGGCUAGCGGGCUCAGGGCCUGAGGGAAAAAGGAUAGCUCAGGGCUAUAAGACUCAGGGUCUAGAAGGAAUGGAUAGCUCAUAGCUAUGAGGCUCAGGGCCUAAAAAAAAAGGAUAGCUCAGGGCUAGCGGGCUUAGGGCCUAAGGGAAAAAGGAUAGCUCAGGGCUAUAAGACUCAGGGUCUAGAAGGAAUGGAUAGCUCAUGGCUACGAGGCUUAGGGCCUAAAAAAAAGGAUAACUCAGGGCUACUAGGCUCAGGGCCCAAGGGAAGAAGAAUGCUCAGGGCUGUAAGACUCGGGGUCUAGAAGGAAUGAAUAACUCAGAUCUACGAGGCUCAGGGCCUAGAAGGGAAUAAUAGAGAAGACCAACUCGAAAGUGGACAUGAAAUAAAUUGGCUCAAAGCCAUAUACUCAAAAUGUCAAGGGUCGGACUACUGAAACCAAGAAGGGAAAUAUGCCCCAGUAUCCAGGGUGCUCACACUGCUGAAACAACCAGUAAACCAAUCAUCUGCUAGAAUCAAUGGGUCAAGAACCAAUACAUCAUGACAAACCUCUGAAAAGUCAGAACUGAAAGAGACCUCUGUGUUUGAAAAACUGCUCUGUCGACAAAUCUCAAAAGGUAAAUCUCGAAGCGUGUAUAUCGUGGCUCAUCUAAAAGCAAAUCUCAAAGUGCACAAAAUGGUGCAUGUUCGGAUAACCCAAUCAACAAGGUAACAAUGACGAAAACAAAUCUGUCUCAUGAACAUCUGGCUAAAGGAUCCACCCACGCUCCUCGGGUGAAACCUGAUGCGAUCCAUCUCUAUCUCAACAAAUCCAUGUAGGGAGGCCCUGAUACAGUCGAUCGUCGGAAGCUCUGGGCUAGUACUCAAUCUAAAACCAAGCUGGUCGCUGUCUCAAUCUCAAGGAUACUCAGAAAGUAGGGAAAUAUGCCCCAGUAUGAGACCUAAUGUCAAAGUCAUAAGCUAAACAACCGACACCAAUCAUCCAUCCUCAUAUCACUGCCCAAAUAAAUCUCGUAAUAGAGAGGGGAAUAUGCCCCAGUAUGGAUAUCGGAUGUCGAAGUCGUGAGUCAAACAAACUAACAAUGAUCAUCCAUCCUCGUACCGCUGUCCAAACACAAUCUCAUCAAGGAGAGGGGAAUAUGCCCCAGUGUGGAUAAUCUAAUGUCGAAGUCGUGAGGUAAACAAACUAACAAUGAUCAUCCAUCCUCGUACCAUAUACAAUAACAGAUAAGAAUCUCGGAGGAGGGGGGAAUAUGCCCCAGUGUGAAUAUAUGAUGCACAACCAAAGGAUGAAUCCAACAUCAUCAAUCAGCUGUCCUCAGCUCAACAAUAAUCCGCUAAGAAGUCAGAAUGAUGUAUCGACCAAUGCCUCAAGGGAGACACUCUAAAUCUAAUCUCAAAUGAAUAGCCAAAAUGAUGAGGAAUGUGGUAAUCUCAAAAGUAGAAACAUGUCUCUGAUGAAUCCCUGACUGAAUCUGAUAGGAAUCUGGUAACCUCAAAAUGGGGAAAUAUGCCCCAGUAUGCCUGAUCUAUACACUGCACUGAAAACUGCCUCCAACUCAGUAAUAAUCCACUAGUCUAUCUUAGAAGUACUCCGCGAAUGGAACCACUAGGGGCUCAACGAUGCUCCAUUAGAACUGAUAUAGUCUCAACAUACCUCACUAGGGAUCUCUGAUCGGUGAAAAUACCCAGACUCAAAGAAAGUGCUUCACUAGGGGCUCAUCUCAACCAAAUGAAAGGGGAAUAUGCCCCAAUAUGGAUAUCUAAUGCACAACCAAAGGAUGAAUCCAAUAUCCUCAAUGAACUGUCUCCAAACCCAAAAAUCCAUCAAACAUCAAUAUGCCAAGCAAGAGAGAGACCAAAUGCUUCCAAAAGUAUCUUCCAUAAAAGGGAACAUAGUGAUUACUACUCAAAAAGUGCUAUUUGAUAGCUUGUAAUUAACUCUUUUAAACACUUUUGAGUAGUAGUUAUCACCUUUUAACCCAAUUAACAUAUUAAGGACCUUUCCAAUUAUUUCUAAUCACUUUGUGUAAGUUUUGGUGUUUUUGUUAGUAAUUUGAUCACCAAAGCAAUCCAAGAUUGAGGAGAGUUCUUUGGAAUCCAUGGCAAAUCAAUGGAAAGCUCAAAAACAUGAAGAACCUAAGCUUUAAAGUCCUUUUCCAUAAACAAAUCAUGAAUACAAGGAUGAAAGCAAAGAGAAAAAUCUAACAUGAAGAAUCCAAGAGGACAUCAACUAUUUGACACUUUUGGAGCACUUCCUAAAGUCCAUUUGUUGCAUACUAUAUGUCGUUUCGAAGCUCGGGAAUUCAGAAAUCCAACGCUUCAAAUGGUUCAUGAAUCGAAGUUCAAAUGAAGAAGUUAGAGCCAUUGGAAGACAAUCACAUCAAGCUGAAGGCUAAUUUCGCAGGGCUGCAAAAUCAGUCUUUGGCUGCGAAAUGAUUUCGCAGCCAUCUUGUACGUCUGCGAAAUUUCGCAGCCAUUUUGUGCACUUGCGAAAUUCUCCUGAGUGCUUCUAGAUAUUUGCGGCCGACAUUUUUUGAUAUUUUGCUUCAGAUAUUUGCUGUCUAAAUCCCAAUUCUCUCCUUGUAAUCCACCAAUUAUAGCAUUCCUUAGUUGUUAAGCAAGAACAAAAGGGUGAAUAACCUCAUAUAUAUUGUUUUGUAAUUUUCAUUUUAUAGAUAUCUCGGGAGCCUGUUCUCAGAGAAUCAACUUUUUGUAUAGUUUGAAAGGAAGUAAAAUACAGAGCUUUGCUCUGCCUUACCUACUCAAUUUGAUUGUGUUUUUCAUUUACUAGCCAAACAAGCUCUGAGGAUGUUUCUUCAGAGAAUGGGUGGCUAGGCUUUUUGUUUCUUGGAGCUAAGGUAGCCAAGGAAGGUGCCGAAUGCAAGAAUUGGUAGUUUUGUUGUUUCAGCUGUUAAUGAAGAGAAAGUGUAACCCGUUUAUGAUUUCUAUGUUUUUAGUUAAUUUAAAACGCCUUCAAUUCACCUGAGCCAACACUUGGUAAGGCAAGUGAUCUCCGUCCAUGGAGAUGCACUAGUUUACCUCUUGCGAGCUUUUGGGAGGUGACCUGAAGGUAGGAUUUUCUAGAAUUGCCAACACUUGGUAAGCUUUUGGACUCUAAGGAGGCAUCCAUUAGUUAUCUCUUGCGAGCUUGAGAAGGGAAGUCCAAGGUUAAUGAUCACCUUGAAUGGCAAAUGCUAGGUGAGAGGCACGAGCCAUUGCAAGAUGCGUCAGUGAGAGGGAAUUAGUGCUGAAAUUCAUAAAAGGGAAGCAUCUGUACAACACCGGUUGGAGAAUGAACUAUAUGUUAAUUCUCUAAUGCGAGGAAAAGAACCAAAGUGACCGGAACUCUGUUUUUGCAUGAGAAGCCUGACCCCAUGAUCCUAACACUCCAAGAGACGCUUUUUUCUUUAUAAGUAAUUCCCAUUACUUUCUUUUUAGUUAGCUUGAAACCAAACCUUUUUCAACCAAAGUUUAUGUUUUCUUUUGAAGCUAACCUUGAAAUGAAAAGGCACCAAUUCAACUUUGAAUUGGUAUCAGUUGUAAGUUGAAAACCCUUCCCAAUGAACGAUCCUAGAGCCACUAUGCUAUACUAGCUUAUGCUAUCCUAGUGCAUGGUGAUAUAGGUUAUAAAUUUUGUUGAUUACUCCCAUUAGGGGACCAAAAUCAAGGUACACCAGCUGGGAAAAUACGAAUCAAAUGGCGUCGUUGCCGGGGAAGGUGCCAAUUUCACAGUGAUAUAAUUUCAGAGUACUUGUGAUUUUCAUCACAAGUUUGGUAAUUUUUCUUUCAUUUUACUAACUCUUUCACUCGUUUCUUUUACUUGUUCAUACUUUAACAUAUCUUUUACUUAAGUUUUAGUUCAUUUUAAUCUUUUUGUAGUCUUGUUUUCUUUUGUUUUUUCUUUUGUUUUUGUUUUAGUUACAGUUGAUACUAGUUGUGUAUGCCAAAUUGGAUACGAGAUAGUGGAGGAAGGCUUGUUAAACGUGAUACACCUCAUAACAAGGAAUUGGAAUUGAGCUUGAAAAUCAUGGAAGCUACGCCUGAAGAUCAGCAUAGUCACCAUGGUCACCAGGACAAUCCCAAUGCUUUCAGAUCAAUGAGGGACCGCAUGCAUCCACCUCGUAUGAGUGCACCAUCAUGUAUAGUGCCCCCUACAGAGCAGCUAGUGAUCAGACCGCAUAUUGUUCCACUUCUACCAACUUUCCAUGGGAUGGAAAGUGAGAAUCCCUAUGCACAUAUCAAGGAAUUUGAAGAAGUUUGUAAUACAUUCCAAGAAGGAGGAGCUUCAAUCGACUUGAUGAGGCUUAAGUUAUUUCCUUUCACUUUAAAGGAUAAGGCCAAGAUUUGGCUUAAUUCUUUAAGGCCAAGGAGUAUUCAUACUUGGACUGAUUUACAAGCUGAAUUCCUCAAGAAGUUUUUUCCUACUCACAAAACAAAUGGCUUGAAAAGGCAAAUUUCAAACUUCUCAGCUAAAGAGAAUGAGAAAUUCUAUGAGUGUUGGGAAAGAUACAUGGAAGCCAUUAAUGCUUGUCCUCACCAUGGUUUUGAUACAUGGCUAUUGGUGAGCUAUUUCUAUGAUGGGAUGUCUUCCUCAAUGAAGCAACUCCUUGAGACAAUGUGUGGAGGAGAUUUCAUGAGUAAGAAUCCGGAGGAAGCUAUGGACUUCUUGAGUUAUGUGGCUGAAGUUUCAAGAGGAUGGGAUGAACCAAACAAAGGAGACGUGGGAAAGAUGAAGUCUCAACCGAAUGCUUUUAAUGCUAAGGCUGGGAUGUUCACUUUGAAUGAAGAUGUUGAUAUGAAAGCAAAGUUUGCAGCUAUGACAAGAAGAUUGAAGGAGUUAGAACUGAAAAAGAUGCAUGAAGUGCAAGCUGUUGCUGAAACACCAGUGCAAAUACAGCAGCCGUGUCCUAUUUGUCAAUCUUAUGAACACUUGGUGGAGGAGUGCCCUACAAUUCCAGCUGUAAAGGAGAUGUUUGGAGAUCAAGCAAAUGUUAUUGGACAAUUCAGGCCCAAUACCAAUGCUCCGUAUGGAAAAAUACUUACAACUCAAGUUGGAGGAAUCAUCCAAAUUUCUCAUGGAAGCCAAGAGCACCUCAGUACCAACAGCUGGCUCAACCAUCUCAACAAGCUUCAAGCCUUGAACAAGCAAUAGUGAAUCUCAGCAAGGUUGUGGGAGAUUUUGUUGGAGACCAAAAAGCCAUCAAUGCUCAACUCAGUCAAAGAAUUGACAGUGUAGAGAAUACUUUGAAUAAAAUGAUGAAUGGGAUGCAAAAUGACUUAUCUCAAAAGAUAGAUAAUCUCCAGUACUCAAUCUCAAGGCUCACUAACUUGAACACAGUGCAAGAGAAGGGUAGAUUUCCUUCUCAACCUCACCAAAACCCCAAGGGUAUCCAUGAAGUGGAAACUCAUGAAGGAGAAUCUUCACAGGUGAGAGAUGUUAAAGCCUUGAUCACUCUAAGGAGUGGUAAAAAGGUUGAGUUGCCAACACCCAAGCCACAUGUUGAAGAAAAAGAAGAGACAAAGAAGAGGGAGGAAAUCAAAGGAAAGAAGAAAGAUAUCAGUGAAAGGAAAGAGGACCAUGAUUCAACACUGAAUGCAAAUCCGGAGAAAAUGCUUAUUAAAGAAGAAAUGUUGAAGAAGCACACCCCUCCUCCUUUUCCUCAAGCUUUGCAUGGGAAAAAGGGGAUUAGAAAUGCAUCAGAGAUUCUUGAAGUAUUAAGACAAGUGAAAGUCAAUAUUCCAUUGCUGGAUAUGAUUAAACAAGUUCCAACAUAUGCAAAAUUCCUAAAGGAUUUGUGUACUAUCAAAAGAGGGUUGAAUGUGAACAAGAAAGCCUUCUUGACUGAGCAAGUAAGUGCUAUCAUACAAUGCAAGUCUCCUUUAAAGUACAAAGAUCCGGGAUGUCCUAUCAUUUCAGUCAUGAUAGGAGGAAAGGUAGUGGAGAAAGCUUUGUUAGACUUGGGAGCAAGUGUGAAUUUGCUACCAUACUCUGUCUACAAGCAAUUGGGACUUGGUGAAUUGAAGCCAACAUCAAUCACUCUAUCUCUAGCAAAUAGAUCAGUGAAAAUUCCAAGGAGGGUAAUUGAAGAUGUCUUAGUUCAAGUUGAUAAUUUAUACUAUCCAGUAGAUUUUGUUGUUCUUGAUACGGACCCCAUUGUCAAGGAAGCUAAUUUUGUUCCUAUCAUCCUUGGAAGGUCAUUCCUUGCUACCUCAAAUGCAAUCAUCAACUGUAGGAAUGGACUUAUGCAACUUACUUUUGGCAACAUGACACUUGAGCUCAAUAUCUUUUAUAUGUCUAAAAAGCAAAUCACUCCGGAAGAAGAAGAAGGUCCAAAAGAGGUAUGCAUUAUUGACACUCUAGUGGAGGAGCACUGUAAUCAGAAUAUGCAAGACAAGUUGAAUGAAAGUCUUGGGGAUCUUGAAGAAGGGUUACCUGAACCCUCUGAUGUGAUUGCCACUCUACAAGGUUGGAGGAGGAGAGAAGAGAUUCUACCUUUGUUCAAUAAAGAGGAGGCACAAGAAGCUGAUAAAGAAGAGAUCCCAAAGCUCAAUUUGAAGCCUCUGCCUAUGGAGUUGAAAUACACAUACCUGGAAAGGAAUCAACAAUGCCCUGUUGUUAUAUCUUCAUCUCUUACUAGUCCUCAGGAGAAGUGUCUACUUGAAGUUCUCAUGAGGUGUAAGAAAGCAAUAGGAUGGCAAAUAUCUGACUUGAAAGGCAUUAAUCCCUUGGUUUGUACACAUCAUAUAUACAUGGAGGAAGAAGCUAAACCAAUUCGUCAACCUCAAAGAAGAUUGAAUCCUCAUUUGCAAGAGGUGGUGCGAGUUGAAGUGUUGAAGCUACUUCAAGCAGGUAUUAUCUACCCAAUAUCUGACAGCCCUUGGGUGACUCCUACUCAAGUGGUACCAAAGAAAUCAGGGAUUACUGUGGUUCAAAAUGAAAAAGGAGAAGAAAUCACUACACGCCUCACUUCAAGUUGGAGGGUGUGUAUUGAUUAUAGAAGAUUGAAUGAUGUAACAAGGAAAGAUCAUUUUCCAUUGCCUUUUAUUGAUCAAGUCUUGGAGAGAGUCUCUGGCCAUCCUUUCUAUUGUUUCUUGGACGGGUACUCCGGAUAUUUUCAAAUUGAAAUUGAUGUUGAAGAUCAGGAGAAGACUACUUUCACAUGUCCAUUUGGAACAUAUGCCUACAGAAGAAUUCCUUUUGGUUUAUGCAAUGCACCUGCAACAUUCCAAAGAUGUAUGCUAAGUAUCUUUAGUGAUAUGGUGGAGCGAAUUAUGGAAGUUUUCAUGGACGACAUCACCAUAUAUGGAGGUACAUUUGAAGAAUGCUUAGUCAACUUGGAAGCGGUUCUUAAAAGAUGCAUUGAGAAGGACUUGGUGCUCAACUGGGAGAAAUGCCAUUUUAUGGUACAUCAAGGAAUUGUCCUUGGCCAUAUCAUCUCCGAGAAAGGCAUUGAGGUUGAUAAAGCAAAGGUGGAACUUAUUGUCAAAUUGUCGUCCCCAACAACUGUAAAAGGAGUAAGGCAAUUCCUUAGCCAUGCAAGGUUCUAUAGGAGAUUUAUAAAAGAUUUCUCUAAUCUUUCAAAACCUCUUUGUGAACUUUUGGCUAAGGAUGCUAAGUUUAUAUGGGAUGAAAGAUGUCAGAAGAGUUUUGAUCAAUUGAAGCAAUUUUUGACAACCACUCCAAUAGUGAGGGCUCCUAACUGGCAACUACCCUUUGAAGUAAUGUGUGAUGCCAGUGACUUUGCUAUAGGAGUUGUGCUUGGCCAAAGAGAAGAUGGAAAGCCCUAUGUGAUCUACUAUGCAAGCAAGACAUUGAACGAAACUCAAAGGAACUACACAACUACAUAGAAAGAAUUGUUAGUUGUAGUGUUUGCCUUAGACAAGUUUCGUCCUUAUCUGGUAGGGUCGUUCAUCAUUGUUUUCAUUGACCAUUCAGCCUUGAAGUAUUUAUUGACAAAACAAGAUGCAAAAGCAAGGUUGAUUAGAUGGAUUCUCUUAUUACAAGAGUUCGAUCUCCAAAUCAGAGAUAAGAAAGGAGUGGAGAAUGUGGUAGCUGACCACCUUUCAAGGUUAGUUAUAGCACACAAUUCCCAUGUCCUACCUAUUAAUGAUGAUUUUCCUGAGGAAUCACUUAUGUUGCUAACAAAAACUCCUUGGUAUGCUCAUAUUGCUAACUAUCUAGUUACUGGUGAAGUUCCAAGUGAGUGGAAAGCACAAGACAGGAAGCACUUCUUUGCAAAGAUUCAUGCUUAUUAUUGGGAAGAACCUUUCCUUUUCAAGUAUUGUGCAGAUCAAAUAAUAAGGAAGUGUGUCCCUGAAGAAGAGCAACAAGGAAUCCUCAGCCAUUGCCAUGAAAGUGCAUGUGGAGGCCACUUUGCCUCUCAGAAAACAGCCAUGAAGGUGUUGCAAUCAGGGUUUACUUGACCAUCACUUUUCAAAGAUGCCCACAUCAUGUGUAGGGGCUGUGAUAGAUGCCAAAGGCUUGGGAAGCUAACAAGAAGGAAUCAAAUGCCUAUGAACCCCAUUCUAAUAGUUGAUCUCUUUGAUGUUUGGGGCAUUGACUUCAUAGGACCUUUCCCAAUGUCUUUUGGUAACUCUUAUAUCUUGGUGGGGGUGGAUUAUGUUUCUAAAUGGGAUGAGGCAAUCCCCUGUAAACACAAUGAUCACAAGGUAGUUCUCAAGUUUCUUAAAGAGAACAUCUUCUCAAGAUUUGGGGUGCCCAAAGCCAUAAUCAGUGAUGGAGGUACUCAUUUUUGCAACAGACCUUUUGAAACCCUAUUAGCCAAGUAUGGAGUGAAGCAUAAGGUAGCUACACCUUAUCACCUUCAGACUUCCGGGCAAGUUGAGCUAGCAAACAGGGAAAUCAAGAAUAUAUUGAUGAAGGUGGUGAUCACGAGCAGACGAGAUUGGUCUAUUAAGCUUCAUGAUUCAUUAUGGGCAUAUAGAACAGCUUACAAGACUAUUCUUGGCAUGUCUCCAUAUCGCCUAGUUUAUGGCAAAGCAUGCCAUCUCCCUGUGGAAGUUGAAUAUAAGGCUUGGUGGGCAAUCAAGAAAUUAAACAUGGACUUGAUUAGGGCUGGGGCAAAGAGGUGCUUAGACCUUAAUGAGAUGGAGGAAUUACGAAAUGAUGCAUACAUCAAUUCCAAAGUUGCAAAACAGAGGAUGAAGAGGUGGCAUGAUCAAUUAAUCUCUAACAAAGAAUUCCAGAAAGGACAAAGAGUCUUACUCUAUGAUUCAAGGCUCCAUAUCUUUCCUAGGAAGCUCAAGUCAAGGUGGAUAGGUCCUUUCAUUAUUCACCAAGUGCAUCCCAGUGGAGUGGUGGAAUUACUGAAUUCCAACAGUAUUGACACUUUCAAGGUCAAUGGUCAUCGUCUCAAGCCAUUCAUUGAGCCAUUCAAGCAAGAAAAGGAGGAAAUCAACCUCCUUGAGCCACAGAAAGCCUAAUCAGAAAAGGGUUAGAUGGGCUUGGUUUCACCAAAGUCCAUAUUUUUGUUUAAGUUUAUUAAUUUAAAGGCUUUAUUAAUUCUUUUGAUUUUAAUUUUGGUCUAAAGUUUUGUUAAUUAUAUGUAACUUCAUCUUUUUUAUUUAUCUAUUGUAGGAGGAAUUGCAAAGAAAAUGAAGGAUGGUCUCUUGGAGCUGAAAUGGAGCUCAAAAGCAAGGGAAAAAUUCAUGGCCUGCGAGAUUUCGCAGCCAAAGGUCUCCCCUGCGAAAUCGCCACUCCGCUGCGAAAUGAUUUCGCAGCCCCAAGAAGCCGCUGCGAAAACGCCACUGUGCUGCAAAAUAAUUUCGCAGCCCAACACCCCCCUCUGCGAAAAUUUUCGCAGCUGCAAAACCCUCUCUUGGCACACGAGUGCCAUUUCGUAGCACAGUAACCCCAUUUCGUAGCUGCGAAAUGGCUGCGAAAUCCCCAAAGCGUGAAAUCUCCAAUUUUCGCAGCCAAAGCCCCAUUUCGCAGGGUGUUUUACAGCUGCGAAACACCCCUUUGGCACACGAGUGCCAUUUCGCAGCAUAGUAACCCCAUUUCGCAGCUGCGAAAUGGGCUGCGAAAAGGGGCCUCCCCUGCGAAAAUGCCCCUCCAUUGCGAAAUCCGCCCUCCUCUGCGAAAAUUAAAACGACCCUUGGCAUCCAAUUUUUUAACGGUAUAAAUUCCAUAUUUCUAAUAAACCAGUCAUUUGAACUCCAAACAAGUGCCAGAGAAGAGCCAAACCAGAGAAACCUUCCAUCUUCUCCCUCCCAUCUGAACCUAAGCCGCGUGCACCUCCGCCCAUCUCCUCCGGUCCGCCAUGGCAAGAACCCGAGGAGCUAAGUCCUCGUCUCCGUCAAGCCGCAAGAGAGCUGCAACAAAGACUCCUGUUCAAGGCUCCGCAUUCGAGCCUCCGUGACCACUAGGCGUCCCACCUCCGGUUGAGGACGCACCGAUGAGGCGCUAUCAGACAAGGGCAAGUAGCCAUCCCCCAAGAAAAAAGCCAAGGUAUCAGAGCCAGCGCUAAUUGAUUUAUUAGAGCCGUUAUCAGAGCCAUCCACAAAGCCUCAGCCGUCUCAGCCACCACCUACAGAUUCUCAGAUUCCCUCAGGCAUGACCCCUGAGGUGCUUAUCAGGCGUCCCAUGCUCACUCAGCCACCCAUUGAGGGUAAUUUGGACUGCAGGGCUAGGCCAUUCCACUCCGAGCUCUGUUUUGACACAGUCGCUUUCAGACUUCAGCCUAAUCUCAGGGACUCCUUCCAUCUGCUCCAGAGGUAUCAUAUGGAGCAUUUGCUGACUCCCAGGGAUUUUUUCUAUCCUCGUGUAGCAAUGGAUUUUUAUCAAUCCAUGACCACACACCAGGUCCGAGAUCUUACUGUCAUCCACUUCACCAUAGACGGACGUCAUGGUAUUCUAGGAGCCAGACAUAUAGCAGAGGCAUUGCGUAUUCCCUACGAGCCAGCUAGUCCAGAGGAUUAUCGAGUCUGGACUCAUCCUUCCCAGAGCGACAUAGUUCGUAUUCUGUCCAGAGGGGCAUCCACACGCCAGUAUCUGUUGAGGAAGGAGCUCCCUCCUAGCAUGUUUUUCAUAGAUGCACUCUUGCGCCAUAACAUCUUUCCACUUCAGCACUGGGUAUAGAGGAGAGGAGUCUUGCUAGAGGCAUUGUUCAGGAUAUCUGAGGGAUUCUUCUUUGGCCCUCAUCAUCUCAUUAUGGCCGCUCUUCUGUACUUUGAAGAGAAGGUCCAUAAGAAGAAGCUGCUCAGAGCCGAUGCUAUUCCACUUCUUUUCCCCAGAUUGUUAUGUCAGAUUCUGGAGCACUUGGGGUAUCCAUCUGAGCCUCAAUUUGAGCGCAAACGCAUUUGCCGAGAGAUAUUCACUCUCGACAAAUGGACGAGUAUGACAGCCUAUAGUGCAGAGCCGGGAGCCCCAGUUGGAGUAGAGCAUCCAGAGAUUCCACAUCCAGAGCAGCCAGAGGAGCCAUAGCCCGUUGAGAUACCAGCUGACACGAGAGCACCUGCCCCUACAGUGCCCUCUACAGAGCCUAUACCUGAGGUUGCACCCUCUGCUCCUCCUGCUACACCACGGCCUUCCCCUGUUAUUCCAGCUACAUUAGAGCCCUCUUCUUCAUUUGAGCCUAGGAUUGCCAUAUCCAAUUCCGAGUACAGAGCUCUAUGUCACACUUUGCAGGCAUUGACCACUUCUCAGAGCAUCUUUACUCAAGAGAUCACAGCUCUUUGUGCUCAUCAGGAGCAGAUUAUUACCACUCAGACUCAGCAUACUGCCAUCCUGAGGCAGAUUCAGCACCAUCUGGGUAUUCCAUCAGCUCCUGAGCACCAGAUGCCUACCCUCUUAGAGCCCACAAAACCAUCACAGGCCCCUCCUUUCGUAAAACAGGCUUUGCCCUCUGAGGAGCCGACUACAGGAGAUGCAGAGACAUCCACCUGAGCCAUUAUCUUCACGUCAUCAUCCUCCAUCUAUCUGAUCAUUUCCAUAGUUUACUUUAUGUAUUUUCUUUAUGCAUUUUCUUAUUAUAGUAGCACUGGUAAUCCCAUGCUUUUGAUAUGUUAUAUAUUGGGAUUGGUUGUAUUACUUGUUUUCCCCUAUAGUGUACUUUCAUGAAGUAAUACAAAUCUAUCAUUUUUGCGUACUCUUGCUAUUAUUUUAUUUUUAUUCCUCUACUCAUAUCUGUUAUUGUUUUUGAAACAUGUGGUUUCUCCUAAUCUACUCGAACUUCAUAUCACUCAGGAGGCACCACUUCCUCCCUGUAAUUUCAAUCGCUCAUACCACAUUGAGGACAAUGCUCAGCUUGGUUGGGGGGGACAGUUGAGGAAGGAAGUUUUUUAUUGUUAAUACUAAGUAUUUUGGUAAUUUAGUUGCUUUUUGCUUAAUUUUAAAAUUUUUUAAGUUUUUAUUCUACUCUCCAUGGUUAUUAAGGAAAAAUUUUCAAAAUGAAAUGGGAGAAAUUGAAUUUUUGUCUUUUUACUUGACUUAGAGUUUGUAUUAUGCUUACUAAAGUUGAUGAAUUGUUGAAACUUCUAUUGAAUUCAACCGUAGUUCUUCCACUUUAAGCUAUUCACACAUUGUGCACAAUAGGUUCCAAUUAUAAGAUGAGAAACUAUUUCCCUCUUGACUUAGGAAAAUUUAGACUUGGUACCUUUGACCUCAUUUAAUAGUGUUGGGACACCUUAUAAAAGGCCAAUGAGCCUUUGAAAAAAAAAAAGAAGAAGAAAAUAAAGAAAAAUGUUUGCUUACCUUGAAACCCGAGCAAGGUCUGAGGGGUAUAUGUUGAAAAUCUUUAAAACCUGGUGCCCUAAGCCUUCAUUGGUUGGGAGUCACUGACCUCAUGCUCGUUAAAAGGGUGAAUAGGUGGAGUUUAACAUACUGUAGGUGCUUGGGUAUUAAAAUUCAUUCUCAAGAGUCCGGGGUAAAAUCCGAGGAGUUAGUGGUUGAAAGAUCCUUAAAGCUUGAUGCCCUAAACCUUAAUUGGUUGGGAGUCAUCGAGGGACCCCCAUUACAUGGACAAUUUAGAAAAGAAUACCUUUAAGCCUUGUACUCCUACAAUGAAAAGAAUUGUAAAAUAAAAGGGUGCGUUCUUAGCCUAUUGAAUUUAGUCAGUUUGCUAAGUGUUGAAAAAGAACUAGGUUGGGGGGAGAGAUUAGUUUAGCAUACUAUAUUUGGAAAUUAUCAAGUAACACUUAGAUUUUUUGUGGAAGAGUAAGGUUGGGUCCUUUGGAAGUGGAAAUGAUUUUAAAGCUUCAAUUUGCAUAAUACCUUCUCUUUAUGAAUUGUGAUUAGGUAAAGUAUUUGAUAACUCUUGCUGAAAUUUGAGUUUUAUUUCUUUAAUGUUCCAUGUGAGAGUUAGAUCAUCAUGCCACUUGAAAAUUGUUUUUUGAUAAGCAUGAUGUUGUAAAUUAUAGUAUUGUUUAUUUUUAUUUUUUUCUCUCCUUCAUUGCUAAGGGACUAGCAAUAUGUCGGUUGGGGGGGAGUGAUUACUACUCAAAAAGUGCUAUUUGAUAGCUUGUAAUUAACUCUUUUAAAUACUUUUGAGUAGUAGUUAUCACCUUUUAACCCAAUUAACAUAUUAAGGACCUUUGCAAUUAUUUCUAAUCACUUUGUGUAAGUUUUGGUGUUUUUGUUAGUAAUUUGAUCACCAAAGCAAUCCAAGAUUGAGGAGAGUUCUUUGGAAUCCAUGGCAAAGCAAUGGAAAGCUCAGAAACAUGAAGAACCGAAGCUUUAAAGUCCUUUGCCAUAAACAAAUCAUGAAUACAAGGAUGAAAGCAAAGAGAAAAAUCUAACAUGAAGAAUCCAAGAGGACAUCAACUGUUUGACACUUUUGGAGCACUUCUUGAAGUCCAUUUAUUGCAUACUAUAUGUUGUUUCGAAGCUCAGGAAGUCAGAAAUCCAACGCUUCAAACAGUUCGUGAAUCGGAGUUGAAAUGAAGAAGUUAGAGCCAUUGGAAGACGAUCACAUCAAGCUGAAGGCCAAUUUCGCAGGGUUGCGAAAUGAUUUCGCAGCCAUCUUGUACGUCUGCAAAAUUUCGCAGCCAUUUUGUGCACCUGCGAAAUUCUCCUGAGUGCUUCUAGAUAUUUGCGGCCGACAUUUUUUGAUAUUUUGCUUCAGAUAUUUGCUGUCUAAAUCCCAAUUCUCUCCUUGUAAUCCACCAAUUAUAGGAUUCCUUAGUUGUUAAGCAAGAACAAAAGGGUGAAUAACCUCGUAUAUAUUGUUUUGUAAUUUUCAUUUUAUAGAUAUCUCGGGAGCCUGUUCUCAGAGAAUCAACUUUUUGUAUAGUUUGAAAUGAAGUAAAAUACAGAGCUUUGCUCUGCCUUACCUACUCAAUUUGAUUGUAUUUUUCAUUUACUAGCCAAACAAGCUCUGAGGAUGUUUCUUCAGAGAAUGGGUGGCUAGGAUUUUUGUUUCUUGGAGCUAAGGUAGCCGGGGAAGGUGCCGAAUGCAAGAAUUGGUAGUUUUGUUGUUUCAGCUGUUAAUGAAGAGAAAGUGUAACCCGUUUAUGAUUUCUAUGUUUUUAGUUAAUUUAAAACGCCUUCAAUUCACCUGAGCCAACACUUGGUAAGGCAAGUAAUCUCCGUCCAUGGAGAUGCACUAAUUUACCUCUUGCGAGCUUUUGGGAGGUGACCUGAAGGUAGGAUUUUCUAGAAUUGCCAACACUUGGUAAGCUUUUGGACUCUAAGGAGGCAUCCAUUAGUUAUCUCUUGCGAGCUUGAGAAGAGAAGUCCAAGGUUAAUGAUCACCUUGAAUGGCAAAUGCUAGGUGAGAGGCACGAGCCAUUGCAAGAUGCGUCAGUGAGAGGGAAUUAGUGCUGAAAUUCAUAAAAGGGAAGCAUCUGUACAACACCGGUUGGAGAAUGAACUAUAUGUUAAUUCUCCAAUGCGAGGAAAAGAACCAAAGUGAUCGGAACUCUGUUUUUGCAUGAGGAGCCUGACCCCAGUGAUCCUAACACUCCAAGAGACGCCUUUUUCUUUAUAAGUAAUUCCCAUUACUUUCUUUUUAGUUAGCUUGAAACCAAACCUUUUUCAACCAAAGUAUAUGUUUUCUUUUGAAGCUAACCUUGAAAUGAAAAGGCACCAAUUCAACUUUGAAUUGGUAUCAGUUGUAAGUUGAAAACCCUUCCUAGUGAACGAUCCUAGAGCCACUAUGCUAUACUAGCUUAUGCUAUCCUAGUGCAUGGUGAUAUAGGUUAUAAAUUUUGUUGAUUACUCCCAUCAGGGGACCAAAAUGAAGGUACACCAGCUGGGAAAAUACGAAUCACAUUGUAACGACCAUACUUCAACCAAUCUACCAAAAACCUGUCCAAGUGAAGACUGUCAAAGAUAACGUCUGAUCUCGCGGCCUCAGGGUGGUCUUAAGACACGGGACGUAACGUAGGCCAAGGUGAUAGGGUGAAAGAAAUGAAGGGAAACUAGGCUCAAAUACCCAAUGAUCAAACCCGUACCCUCGUGUACAAGAUGUAAUGCAUAGAAAAAUCUCAUGAGUCAUGGACUUAGAAGUAACCAAAGGGAAUGUCGAUGAUGAAAUGAGAGAAAGGAUGAAUGGUCAAACCAUCAAUGAAAUAUGUGAAUGAUGUGAAGAAGGUAUCAAAUCAGUAAUGGGUAUCAAUAUGUAGGGAAUGAAUAAAAGGUGGAACAAAGAUCUGGAAAGAGGUAAUGGGAUACAAAAGAAAGCAAUGAGAAAGUGGAAUGAGUGAUGAUCAACCCAUGUUAGUACAAUAAAGGAAAGUCAUAUCACCAAUGAUGGAAUGGUGGGUAAGACAAUGAUCCGGAGACCCUAGUAAAAAGGUCACUCAUCUCUCAUACCUAAUAUAUAUCAAUCAUGAUCCAAGCAGCAUAGGAUCUCAUAGAACUCUCACAUGAACCCUCGACACUCCAAAUGCAUAACAAGAGUGGCUCAAGGAGUGAAGAACUCAUAAAAACUCACAAAAAUCCACAAUGACAAAUAUACCCAAUAAAUGAACCUCAAAAGGUGGCAUAAAUGCCCAAUGGAACGAGAUACCAUACAUGAGCAUAUCAUUGCGUUUUUCUUUUCUUUUCUUUUUUUUUCUUUUUUUUUCUGAUUUUUUAUUUUUGAUUUUUUGUUUUUCUCUUUUUUUUUUUUUUUUUUUUUUUGCACAUGCUCUGAUCAUCAAUAAAUCAAACUCCAAUGGAAAAAUAUAAGGAAUGAACAAACUCUCUCUGACCACUGAUGAAUACAUGAACCCCAACCCAUGAGACAACCUCUCAAACUAAGAUCUCCGAAUCAAUGUCAAAUGAUGGAAUGAAUAGAGUGAUAUGACUGCCCUCUUUGCACUAAGACGUGAAGAAUCAUCAACCCAAGGAAGAGAAUAGAUAAGAUGAAGCAAAUAAUGAUAGAGAUAAGAAAGAGAAUGAAUAUAUGAUGAUAAUAAAAUAGAACAAAUAGGGUGAUAAGACGAUGGUAACAAAAUGAGAAGAUAGACCUAUAAGUCUAAAGCUCAUGAGACUUUCCUAGCAAAGCAUGCAUAUACAUCAAAGGGCCUCAACCCGGGUAUAGAAAUGGUAAUCAAAGCUAUAAGAAAGAAAUAAGGCUAUAACAUACCACGCGAAGCUCAAUGGGCUAGCAACGGUCUAAUAUAUAAAGGUGAUAAAGUAUGAGGCUAACCGAAAUGAUGGCCACCCAUCCUGCGACCACGGUCUCAAACAUAAUACUUCUUCAGCUGAUCCACAUUGGUAGGCUCUGAAAAUUGGUUUCCAUCUAAGUCUGUCAACCAUGCAGCCCCUUCUGGAGUCAACUCUCGGAUAACAUAAGGCCCACUCCAACUAGGUCUAAACUUUCCUCUAGGGUCUCCAAUCAAAGCUCUGAGAAUCCUCAAAACUAAAUCCCCUUUUUGCAAUGGUCUAGGCUUAACUCAUUUCUUGAAGGCACGAGCCAUCUUUCUCUGAUAGGCUUGAACAUGAUCUGCCGCUCUCAAUCUCCUCUCAUCUAAAAGGUUAAGCUAAUCAAAUAGAGCCUGAGCCCACUCUGUCUCAGAAAUCUGCUGCUCAAGGGCUACUCUCAAUGAGCCCAUCUCUAUCUCAACUGGCAAAACAACCUCCAUACCAUACACUAGAGAGUAAGGCGUAGCUCCUAUAGAAGUACGAAAAGAGGUACGAUAUGCCCACAACGCAAAAGGAAGCUUCUCUGACCAAUCUCGAGAAGUCUCAACCAUCUUCCUCAAAAUCCUCUUAAUAUUCUUGUUUGCAGCCUUUACUGCCCCAUUGGUCUGUGGCCUAUAUGCUGAAGAUCUAUGAUGUCGGAUGCCAUACUCCUGCAACAAAGUGUCUACCUCAGCUCGGAAGUGCACCCCUCUGUCUGAAAUCAGCUCAUGGGGAACCCCAUAGCGACAAAUGAUGUGUGAUCUGAUGAAACUGGCGACCCUAGCGGAUGUCAACCUUGCAUAUGAUGCGGCUUCCACCCACUUGGUGAAAUAAUCUAUGGCAACCAGGAUGAACUCAUGAACACUGGAAGAUUUUGGUGAAACCUUCCCAAUGAUAUCAAUACCCCAUACUGAAAAUGGCCAUGGCAAGGUCAAAGCGUGUAACUCUAAUGGCGGUGCAUGUAUGAGAUUACCAUGAAUCUGACACUCUGGGCAUUUCUGAACAAACUGACAACAAUCUGUCUCCAUAGUCAACCAGAAAUAGCCCGUCCUCAUAAUCUUACGGGCUAGUAUGUGUCCUCCCAUAUGCGGACCACAAACUCCUGAAUGAACCUCUCUCAUCACUCGAUCUGCAGAGGCUCGAUCUAAACACAACAGAAGCAUACCAUCAGCUGAUCGUCUGUACAAGGUAUCUUCGCAAAUCACAAAUCUAGUAGCCAAAUGCCUCAAUGCUCUCCAAUCCUUGGCAGUGGCUACCUCAGGGUAUGUGCCAGAUCUGAGAAGCUGAUAAAUGUCAUGAUACCAAGGUAGAUCAUCCUGGUCCUCUAUCUCUCCAAUCAAACAACAAUAGGUGGGUGCAGACCUCGACUCAAUCAGUAAUGGACGUAUGACUACAUCAAUCGGAAUGUCCACGGAGGAAGCUAAAGUAGCUAAGGCGUCAACAAAUCGAUUCCGCGCUCUAGGUAGAUGAACAUAUCUCAAGUCAUCAAAUCUCGCAACCAACAACUCUAAAUAUGCAUGAUAUGGUCUAAGCUUCAUGUCCCUAGUCUUCCAGUCUCCCUGAAUCUGUCUGAGUACCAAAUUGGAGUCACCAAAUACCUCCAUCUGUCUAAUGUCAAGCUCCAAUGCAGUCUCUAAACCCAAGAUGCAAGCCUCAUACUCAACUAUGUUAUUCGUGAUAGGAUGUCGAUCAUGGAAUGCCAAACGAACAGAUCUCGGAAUAUGAUCGCCCUGAGGGGACACCAACAAAACACUUAUCCCAUACCCUGACUGAUUGGCUGAACCAUCAAAGUACAUGCACCAUCCUGAUAAGCUGGUCAUAGCAACAAACUCCUCAUCUGGAAAAUCAUCAUCAACUGGUCUAUCCUCAGAUGUCGAUAGUGAGGCUAGGUGAUCGACGACAAUACUUCCCUUAAUAGACUUCUGAGAAACAUACUGGAUAUCAAACUCCGUCAAAAGUACGAGCCAUCUCAUCAGUCUACCAGUCAAUGCAGGUCUAUCAAAUAAGUAUCUCAAUGGAUCUAGGCAGGAUAUCAAAUGCACUGAGUACUCUGUCAUGUAAUGCCUCAAUCUCCUGGUUACCCAAACUAGUGCUAAGCAUAGGCGCUCAAUCAUAACAUAUUUCACUUCAUACUCCAGCAUCCUCUUACUCAAGUAGUAAAUAGCCCGUUCCUUUCCUAAGUCAUCAAUCUGAGCUAACAUACAUCCUACGGCCAUGUCUGAAACUGACAAAUAUAGAAGAAGUGGACGUCCUGGCGUAGGAGACACUAAAACAGGAGGAGAAAGCAAAUACUCAUUGAUCUUCUCAAAUGCAAACUGACAGUCAUCAUUCCAAACUGUUGGUUGGUUCUUCCUCAAAAGACGAAAGAUAGGCUCCCAUAUGUCCGUCAAUCUGGCUAUGAAAUGACUGAUGUACUGCAAUCUACCUAGAAAACUCCUGAUCUCUUUCUCAGUCUUCGGCGCAGGCAUGUCAAGUAUGGCUUUAAUUUUAUCUGGGUUGACCUCUAUGCCCCGAUCACUGACCAUAUGCCCCAACAGUUUCCCAGAAGUCACUCCAAAGGUGCACUUCUUGGGGUUUAGCCUCAGUCUGAAUUUCUGAAUCCUCUCAAAGAAUCUCUCUAGGGCCGCUAGGUGAUCUGCUCUACCUUAGGAUUUCACAAUCAUAUCAUCCACAUAAACUUCCACAUCCUUAUGCAUCAUGUCAUGAAACAAAGUGGUAGCGGCUCUCUGAUAAGUGGCUCCUGCAUUCUUCAACCCAAAUGGCAUAACCCUGUAACAGUAGGUACCCCACUCAGUAAUAAAGGCUGUCUUCUCCAUAUCCUCUGGAGCCAUCAAAAUCUGAUUAUACCCUGAAAACCCAUCCAUGAAAGACAACAUCGAAUGGCCUGCGGUGCCAUCAACCAACAAAUCAAUGUGUGGAAGGGGAAAGUCAUCUUUAGGGCUGGCUUUAUUAAGAUCUCUGAAGUCAACACAAACCCUAACUUUGCCAUCCUUUUUAGGAAUAGGGACGACAUUAGCCAACCACUCUGGAUACUCAACUACUGAUAUGAACCCAACACUAAGUUGUUUCUAAAUCUCCUCUUUCACCUGUAGACUCCAACGUGGAUGCAACCGUCUCAAUUUCUGCUUAACUAGUCUGGCAUGUGGUAGGGUAGGUAAAUGGUGCUGGACUAUAGAGGGAUCGAGACCUGGCAUGUCCUCAUAAGACCAUGCAAAGACAUCCAAGUAUGACCUGAGUAAAUGAAGGAGUCUAUCUCUCUCAUCUGCAGAUAGGGGUGAACCAAUCUUCAAUUCUCUAGACUGAUCCUCUGUGCCAAAAUUAAUAGUUUCAAUGUCCCCUGUAGCAGGUGAAACUCUCACAUCUAUGGGAUCAGAGUCAUGGUCAAAAGAGUUCCUAUCUAAACCGGGCUGUGCAAUCUCAUCAUCUAUAUCAAAUAUCUAUGAGAUGAGUGAGUGGGGUGCAGAUAUAGAGAUACUAUCACAAGAGACAGGCAAAUACUCAAAAAUGCUCAAAUCCAUAAAUGAAGCAAUAGAAACAUCGUCAGAGCGGGAGACAAAUCCCGAUAAAACAUCAAAAGAAAGAGGUGGGUCCACAAGGUCGGACGCUCCCUCAACUGGGCUAACAAUGCCCUCAAACAAACUACUAUCAUCCUCUAGAAGCUCUGGAACAGGAAUAAUCUGGGUCCCCUCGAGAACCUCAAUGGUAGACACCCCAAACAUGUCAAAUGGUGAAACAGGCUGAAGCUGAACAAUGCUGGUAAUCUGGCUCAUGGUCGUCAUGUCCAUCUCAUCUUGGUACUCAUCAUGGGAAACAACUCCAUCAAUCAUCUUAGUAGAAUCAACCAUCACCCCAUCACCAGUGAUCUCCUCUGGAAAGCAUAGAGACAACAUGCUAGCUCGACCUGGAGACGUGGGAGUAAUCGUCAAAGGGAAAGAAGAGUCGGGAGCCCCAUCACUCAACUGUAGCUGAUGAAAUAGAUGCUGAAGAUCGGUCUCUCUAUCUGUAUGAACCACACUAUCAAUCUCCUCUAGACGAGGUCGAGUCUCUGAUCCUCUGACAAAGUAGUCAGCCAAACUCAUCCUAUAGGGUCGAAUAGGAUAAUCAAAUGGUGUGUGGGAUAAACGAGCUCUCACCCUCUCCUUGCGCAGCCGCACCAUGUGAUGGUAAUCGGCCUCAGUAGGGAUGAAUCCAAGUCCAAAUGUCGUAUCAUGGUCAAUGGCAGCUAUGAACUCGCUUGGUCCCUGCUGACGUCGUCCUAACCCCAUGCCAGGUAGAAAGGUCAUACCCCUCAUCAUAUCAAGGACCAUUGUGCUACUGUGCUGAUCAAAUGACAUAGCCACAAAGUCUCUACAAAAAUCCUCAAUCUCGAGAGUCUGUAUCUCAUCAAAAGUAAACCCAGUCAGAAGUAGGUCGUCCUCACUGUGACUAAUCUGAAGUACUGGCUCAGAAGCGGCAAAUAUAUCCCUGGUAGAGCGCACUGUGAUGACCUGCCCAUCAUGAAUAAACUUCACAUUCUGAUGAAGGGAAGAAGGAAUAGCUCCAGCUACAUGAAUCCAUGGUCGGCCUAGUAGUAGGUUAAAGAAUGUAGGAAUCCUCAAAACCUGGAACAAAGUGGAAAAUGUGGCUGGACCAAUCUGCAAAUCAAUCAUCAAGGUACCCAUAACCUCCCUCUUGGUGUUAUCAUACGCCCUGACUGUCUGAGGAGAAGGACCAAAAUCUGAAGGCGUGAAACCAAGGGCUAUAGCAGUGGCUAAAGGGCAAACAUUCAGGGCUGAGCCGUUGUCCAGUAGGACAGACGGGACUCUACGGCCUGAACAUCCAACUGUGAUGUAUAGAGGGCGCACGUGGUCUAAACCAUCAGGUGGCAAGUCAUCAUCUGAAAAUACAAUGCAAGUGGCCCUACCAGCCGUCAUCAUAUGAAUCAAUCCCUCUGGAGUGGUGGUAGUCUCUACUCUGAUCUGACUCAAGGCUCGAAUCAAAGCAUCUCUAUGAGUACUGGAUGAUGCUAAUAAACUCCAUAUGGAAAUGCGAGCCUGAGUGCUCUGUAGCUGUCUCAAAACCUCAUCAUCCUCUCUCCUAACCUCCUCAUGAGAGGUUGUACCCUCAAAUGGUCUGACUGCUGGUGGUGGUGGCUGAGCUAUCCUCCCACUACGAGUCAUAAUCUGUAUCUCUCUCCCUGCUGAAUCAUCAUCCUCUGGCCAUAAAGUGAAUGGGAUAAAAGCAUCCUGACAUCCGAUAACUAAGAGUGUAGGAUGAGUCAACUGGAAUGGUGCCUCAUCCGGGAUCAAACUGAAUGGUGCAGGAGUUUGAGGGACCACUGAAACCCCAUCAACCUCAUAACUGUCAUGCAAAACAAUCGGCUCGGGUAAUCCAUCAUCCCAACUCAACAUGUGUAUAUUGUCAUCCUCUAUAAGGUCCAUGUGAUGAAUAUCUCCUGAAGAUGGAUGCACUGCGUGUGUAGAAUGAGCAGGAAGAGGGUUAGUGGUCACACUUGGCUGCCCCAAUUUGACCAAACCCUGAUCUAUCAAAUCCUGAAUAGCAUGUCUCAAAGCAGUGCAAUGGUCCGUGUCAUGCCCUGGCCCCUGAUGGUAGGAACAAUGUAAGUCCAUCCUGAAGCGAGGUGGUAUGGGUUGGGGUAAAGGCCUGGAUGCUAAUGGAAUCAGUAAUCCACCCUCUGUGAGCUUCUGAAAAGCUUGACUCAAAGGCAUACCUAACUGAGCAAACUGACGUGGUGGCCUCUACACAUAAGUAGUGGUCUGUGGAGCUCGGGGUCGAGUAUAUGGGGCAGGAGGCCUCUCUGCGACGUGUGCAGCAAAAACAGGCUAUGAGUCCGGAUGCAGAUAAGUAGGAAUCAUAGGUCUGGAAGGAGUAGGUGGUCUGUAAUGCGCAUGAGGUGAAGGUGGAUAGUAGUACCUAGGAGUCUGCCUAACUGUCUGAUAGCAUCUAGAAGGUCUCAUCCCUGCUGAACUGAUAGGACCAACAUCUCCUGAUCUCUGUCCUCCUGAAGGCCUCUUCCCCUUAGAAUCAGUAGGGGAAGACUCAAACCAUAAUCCUCUAGCAAUGCCCUCCUCUAUACCAUACAAAGCCUGUACCAAAGAUCCAAAAUCCGUAUGGGGAAAUCCCAUCAAUUGUCUAGCAAAUCUAGGCAGCAAGCUCCUCGUAAUCAUGCUAAUCUGAUCUCUCUCUCUGAAGGACGGUCUAUAAUCUAUGAAAUCUUCUCCCUCCAGCGGGAGAUAAAUGAAGUGACUGACUCCUCCGGACUCUGUCUCAAAGCCUCCAACGCUCUCCUCGAAACAUCAAUGACAGUGUUAAAUGCAAACUGUCUCAAAAACUCCUGGGCUAAGUCAUCCAAGUCCUACGGCGUGAUACCUCCAAUGAAGUGAACCAAUGCUGUGCAGCACCACUCAAUGACAUAGGGAAGAGCAUAACCAUCUGGGCAUCAUCCAGUCCAUGGGCCCUCAUAACAGUACUAUAGAGUCUCAAAUGGAUGCGAGGGCAUCCUAUGCCUAUGUAUCUCUCAAUCUCAGGCAUCCUGAACUUGGCCGGUAGACUGGCCACGGGUGCUCCAUCAAAAUCCUCCCAAGUAAUAGCUCCCUCUGAAGUCCUCAUCUGUCUCAACUUCUGCUCAAGUUUAUCCAUACGAGCAUGUGGGUCCUCUGAGAUCGGAGUAGGCACUAUGGGAGGCAGGAGGUGGUGCAACCUCAGUCUGACUAUGUAGAGUAAAAGGUAUAGUCUGUGGUACUGGCUGACUGUGCGGAGGUGGUGGUGGUACUGUGGUAUCAAACUGGGUAUCCUCCUGAACUGGGACCUGUUGGGCCUGCUGCCCAUCUAUCCUCUGGCCAAGGCUAGCUAUAGCCUCCUGGAUCGAAGCCAUGGCCGCAGCAAACUGGUCAACGGUAACUAUCUGAGAAUCCAUAUCCCCCUAAUCUGAUCUCUGGUCUAACUGGUCUGAUGCUCUGGUCAAUCUGCCUCCAACUCUAAUCCACGAAGGCGAAUCCAGACUGGUCACGAUAAACUCUCCUACAAAUAUGGAAAUACUGGAUAAGGUGCGGUACAAAAGCGACUCUGUAUGAAUCAAGUGCGUAGAAGCAAAGCCCAAAUAUACUCAAUCCGAUACCCUCCUCUGAUUACACCAAAAGGAGACUAAGGAAGGGAUAACCAAAUCCAAUCGUGACCAAGGCAGCUCUGAAGGUCCACAGAUGCACCCACGUGUAGGAAUGAAAUCUUAAUUGGGUCUAGGCUAACCUACAAGGUUAAGGCGGCUCUAUAAGAUAAAAUGGGUGGGUCAAAGGAUCCCUAGCAGAAGCGAUCGUACCCUCCGGCGGUACGCAACCCUCUGCAUGCCUCCAAGGAGACGGGGUGCUUCCAUGCAAGGUGGUCAUUACCUCCACACAUGCACUUCCUCGCGUUCCCAGGGGGUUUCUUAAAGGUGAAGGCUCUCCCAUCUCUCAACACUCAGGGAUAAUCUAAAGUGCACAAUGAAGGAUGUGGGUGCAUCCGAAAAAAACCUUAGAUCUAAAGUGAGAUAGUGAACGAAGACAAGCAAUCAUACGAACAUGCAAGAGAAAAGGUUGUCAUGCAACAAGCAGUCAUGCGAAGCAGAUAAAUAUCAAACAAUCAAAGUCCUAUCUAACAUAUGUGAGAGUGAAUCAUGCUAAGAGCAAAACAAUCAAGUGAUCAUCCAAGGCAAUCAAACAUGUUAAGAUAGCAAAGCAAUCAAGCAAGCUAACCAAAUCACCUUGCCUAAAAAGGGUACCCUCUAAUAGACCAAUUAAACGCCACAUUUUCCUUAACUAGUGUUCAAGCUUGAUCCUCAAGAUCCCCAGUGGAGUCGCCAAUUUGUGGACCAGCAUUUUUCACAUGCGCCCCUACUCGAUCGGCGAGACUCGCUUUCUAUUUGUGAAAAAAUAAUUUUUGAAAAAAAGUUGGAGUCGCCACUUAUUUUAUUUUUAUUUUUAAAGGGAAAAUAAAACAAGAAAUAAAACCCUAAAAAAUGACUCCAUAAUUUUUGGAAAAGCGUGUCUUUGAAAAACCCGAGUCUAAGUCCGGGGAUCAGCUUACCUAUUGGGAAGGUACCUUUGAAAGAUAGCACCCCUCUAAGCCCUAUAAAGGUCUCUACUGACAAAGUUAAGGGAAGUGUGGCUAUUAAUCAGUUUAAUUAUGGAUACCUAAGUAGGCUAGGUGAUUUCAAAUAUAUAGCAUGCCAAACAAGAUUUAAUCAUAAUAAAGGAGGGUUAGGAUGCGUACCCGGAUCACUUCUCGAGCACUAACACAAGACAUCAAAGAUUAGUUUGGAAAUAUGACACAUAGUAUGUAUUUUCAUCAAGGACGAUCAAACAAGCAUCAAGGCAAUCAAUUAUGGCAUCAAACAUGGUCAUGUCUCAUGAGAACAUACGCAUUCAUAGAAUUUUAGGGUUGUGGGGUAGAAAGGGCGUACCUGAUUUGCAAGCAUCCACAUCUCUAUGGGAAGCAAGGAUAUCUCAACAAUAAAUGCGAAACAAAUUCAUUUAUAUCAUCAAGAAUAAUAAAAAAUCAACAUGUCAAGCAAACAAUAUUGAAGAGAGUAUCAUGAAUGUCAGGCCCCCACCAAAGCCCUAAUUGAUUUCGCAUGAGUUGGUUCUAUGAAUUCCAUUGUUUGGAAUCAUGAAGUUUGUUCAUGCUUGAGAAAAUUGAGAAAAAUCAAGAAAAUCGAUUGAAAAUCAAAUAAAAUAGUGAAAAUGCAUGCCGGAAGGAAAAUGGCAGCAAGAGUGUGUUAGAAUAUGGAUUUUAUACCUAGCAAAGACCUAAGAUGAAUUUUUCAAAGUCGGGAAUGUUUAGUUGAACAAUGGUUCAAAAAUUCUAUUUAAAACAGUAAGUCCCCAAUCAAAGAAGCGAAUAUAGGAUAAAGUGUGUAUAGCAAGGUUGCCAUGAAGUGAAGCCGGGAGAUUCUGGAUAGAAGGGACCAAUUCACUACAAAAGUGUUCAACUGUCAAAUGCUUCAACUUAAGAGACAUCUUGAUUUGUAAGCUCGACUGGAUUCUCCUCAACAUAAGCCAAAUACUGAAUAGAAGGUUCAGAAUUCCAGUUUUCUCCAUUGAGAGGUUUUCUGUAUUCUGCUAGUUUUCAAUUGAUUAAGCCUUUCAACUUUUACCUCAAUCCGCCAUAAUAGAGUUCGAUUCAUGUGGCCUGUGGUCAAAUAAACUAUUUUCUGCAUACUUAAACUUCCUAUGUGAAGACUUCAUUACUUGGAGAGACAUCCUGACUACUUCGAAUACAUGAUUCAAAUUAUGUUGUUUGCUGAGGAAUUCCAAUAGAGAGCAAGAAUGUUCAGAUACCGUUCUUAACUUCUGUCACACACGGAGACUAUUUUCUUUCUGUCUUAAACAAUCUGCACUGAACUUGGUUUUCAUCUUUAAUGAUGGUGUUUGAUCUGUAUUUCUAUUAAAAGCUCUACCAAUUCCAUAACAGUUCCAGAAUUCUGUAUCAAUUGGUCUCUUAGCUGGACAAACGAAUAAAGUCUGUAUGUGCUUCCUAUUUAUUCAUCAAAAGCAAACUAAGGAUACCCUUGAUGUGAUAGGCAGCUAGAUCAGUUUCAAUCUCCACAAGUACAGAGUCCUUUUGCUGUCCUGAACCCCAUUGCUUUAAGGUCAAUAUGCUUGAUAGCAUUUGAUUUGGCUAUAACUCGAUUUUCAAUUUCUUAGUUUUCUUUUGCUGAAGCCAAAAUUCAUCUGCUUCUCAAGUAUCUCUAGAAAUUAAUCAUGCAAUCUUGAAGCUCCAGUUUGUCGUGUGUCUUGCUCUGCCCAUUCACGAAGAUUUAAAAAAAAAAAAAACAAUCUGAGCUACUCAAAGAGUCUGAUAUCUGUCAAAGUAUGUCGAGUUAAAAGUCAUGGAAACAAGCCAAUUCCCUCCCCCUUCUUCUUACUCUGUUUCUGCCACAAAUCAGUCGUAAGUGAAGUAUGUCCAGUUCUUCACAAUACUAAUGACUGGUGGGGCAGGCUGAUGUUGAGUGAAGCCUUCUAUGGACUAAGGUAUUAUGUAGAACAAUAGACAUUACUUCAGAAGACUGGGUGAGAUUAAAUCAUGGCAGUAGCCUGAGUGGAACUUCAAUCCCUGAUUUUUCCACAAUUAAUCAGCAAGCUUCAGAAUUUUCCUUGUUCUAUGAACCGGGAUCAUCACAUAAAAGGCUCAAAGUUGGACGAUCAAAUGGACUUGGAGACAUCAAGUGCUGCAAAAGGGGUGUUUGUUCAGGAAAUUCAACAACCCAAGAAGAAGGGAGUUCUCCCUCCUAUUUCAGAUCAUUAAGAACGAUGCUUCUCUCCAUUGUUGUUCCAAUCGAGUGCCAUAGUUCAAAGAAUACAACUCCUAAGCUAUACAUGUCAGCCUUCUCAUCAAUCUUUGACCACCGAACAGUAUUCCAUCUGUAUAUAUGAAUAUGUUGAUUCAAGCUUAGUCUCAUGCACAUUUAUAUCUGCCAAGUUUGCACAUUUGUUGCAAAUUGACAUAUCCUGCAGAAACAACUGGCUAUUGUCAUCUGUAUUUGAGCAUGGAACAGCAGCGUGUGAUUGACCAACUGGAACAAUUUCAGAUAGGAACUCUCGAGAGGGAGCUUGCUUCUAUCCAAACCAUUCCCCUUUUGUUUAUUAUGUGAAACAUCAUUAGCCGAAUCUUAACCAACACUGUCACGUGUUAUUGGUGAGCUUGUUGGCAUCUUGUUUUGGGCAGAAUAAUGAGAUCCCUCAGUUAAUUAGAGAUCCAUAUCAACUAAAACACCAGAAUAAUGGAUUUCCCAUGUUUUCUGCUGGACAACGAUUGUCAAUUCUUUCUCUUGUUCACUUCUAGUGGCAGUGGCUUGACUCUCCAACAAAACCCUUGAUGCACCCUGUAGCUUCUCAUUUAAUUCUGGAUUCUUAUCAGCAUCGCUUUCCGUCAUUGAUGAGCUUCUAGGAUGCUUGUUUUUGACAGGAUUCUCUGACUGCUCAUAAUGAGUUACAAAUUCCCCACAAUAGAAUAUUAUGAUCGUCGGCCUUACAAUACUGUUCUUUUAAAAUUUUCUGCUCACUGGAUAGUCAUAGUUCAAACCAUCUAUAUCAAAAGGCUUUCCCAGGCACUCAUCUUCGAAACCUUAGAUCCAGCAAGUCUACAACCGUCUGAGCAUAUUCUUCAAAAAUCCGAUCUCUCAGCAUGGCAUAUGACACUGAUAGGAUUGAAUUUUCAAAUUUCCGACUUAAAGGUCUUGGGCGUUAGCUGGAAGUUAUGAGGUGGCAUACAUGAACGGAUAAUGGACGAAAUAAUGCUUGAAUUUCUUUGAACAUUCCAUUUCAAUAGUUGAAGAGAAACAUGUCUUCGAAUAACUCUUUUGCACUAAAGAUCAACUUGACCAAUAUUCAGUAAAGUUGAACAUUUAUCAAUAACUGCAUCGGACACCUCUCAACACUCUACUGCAUUAUGGAACAAACUAGUUACCCCGGUUCUUGUCAUUGACCAUAUCCAAUCAUUAAGGCUCCCCGAAUCACUAUGCAUAGGAGAGCCAGCAUGUGCUGAGGACAGCUUCGCAUACUCAAUAAUAAAAUUCCUUGCAUUCAGAUUCAUGCAUCCCUCUAUAGGACUUGUAGAACUAUUAUUGAAAGUGAACGGCCCAGGUUGCUUUUAGAUGAUGUUAAGAGAACCUCUUCUCAUAGAUCCUGUGGAAAUAUUGUAAUCACUGAGACAAUAUCCAUUUCAGUUGGUUGACUUUCUAGUUCCUGUGAUUGAUGCAGCCUUUGUGCUUGAAGAGCUUGACUGCGAUGUUGUCUCUCAUAAGGUCCAUUUUUUACUGCCCAAAACCCAGAUCAGACAUGUGAUGAUGUCGCAACUGUUCAAGAAGCAAUUGUUGAAUGUGAGUCAUGCUGUAACUGUUGUUGUUGCUGCUGCAAUUUCAUUUGGUGGUGAUGAAGCUGCUAUUCAUGAAGCGCAAACUCUCACU
rnacentral:lncRNA from 1 species